rnacentral:lncRNA from 7 species
GCACUUUUAAACUAUAUAAUUGAUCAUAGUUAAGUAAAAACUAACUACAGGCAAACACAAUGUUCUCCUUUUUACUUAAAGGAACAGACAAACAUAGUGGAGAAACCGCUUUCUGACGGACCCCGUUUUUCCAGUGUCUUUUUUUUCAACUAGAUAUGGAGACACACGUAGUUCAUAGCAUAUAGCAUGUAUAGUGGUAGUCCAUGGCAGGAGGAAUUUAAGGAAAACGCAUCGGAUGUUGACGACGACGAGCUAGAGCGGGAGCGGGCCCCCGCCGGCGCACCGCACCCGGACCCGGGCAAGGUUGAACGCACCUGGACAGGAACAGGAUAGCAUGCAUCCAGGACCAGGACCAACCAGUGCAGGAGGCAAGCACCAAGCUGGUUCAUCGGCACCACCUGCUGAAUGCCGACUUCUCUUUAUCUAAGCUGUUUAUUAAUAAUAAAUAAAAGUGGACGCAUGAGACCAUCAUCCAUCCUCGUAUGAACGAACGAACGGGGCAAGCUAUAGAUUGGAAAGCAGUGUGUACAUAUAUAUAUGCUGGCUUGGCUUCUGAACUUUUUUUAAAAAAAAAAUAUAUUCCAAGCAUAUCCUUUGUUGUCGACAGGCAGAGGAUCCUGCGCCUGAGAUGC